GCACCACUUCGAGACACCCGCGUUCCCCGCCGGAAUCCAAUCCAUCCCGCUCACCUACUGGAGGGGGCCUUGCACCGGCCUGCCGCGGUUUUCUAUGCUGACUUCGAAGGGAACGUCCUGCUCACAGAAAGAGGCAGUGUAAUCAUUCUGGCUGUUUCGUGGUUGCUGUCUACAUGAUAUAGCUUCAUCUGUCCUUCCUGUCUCCACACAUCGUGACUCACUCUGAAGACUCCAGAACUGCUUUGAUGGAAACAACCUCUUGAUAUCAUGAUGAGACUUCGAUGAGUAUUAAAUGUAGAGGCACGGGGAAGGUGGCCAUCCUCAAAUCAGAGAGAGUCCUUCAGGAGAUAGUGGCAUUGUUGGCAGUCUGAUCCACCUUCAUCAAGAAAAGACAUUCUCUAUGUCUGUGGAUGAAGUCAUAAUAUAAUCCCUUUUAAAGG